AAGUCGUGACAAGGUUUCCGUAGGUGAACCUGCGGAAGGAUCAUUAAUGAUUGCGAAUGGUUACCUUCGGUGCUGGCUCUUGCAAGUGCACGUUGGUGGCUUUCAUCCAAUACCCUCGUGAACCUUUGGCCUCUUGCUAGCUUCGGCUGGCAGAGGAUUUUUACACACUCGAAUGUAAUGAAAACUAUUGCCGUGCGCAAGCACUAAUGUACAA
rnacentral:misc_RNA from 1 species